ACCCUGCGGCUCGCGAGAGAGUGCGUGUCUAUUUAAACCAACAUUUAUAAUUAGGGAAGACCUUAAAAGUCCGUGGCGUGCAAGCCUCCUACGGGGAGGAAGCCCAGGAGCGGAUGAAGGACUGCCCACCUGCGAGAGCAGGUUUGAAUAAGCGCACGAGACGGUUCAUGCGGGGA
rnacentral:other from 1 species